GAUGAACGCUAGCGGCAGGCUUAGUACAUGCAAGUCGAGGGGCAUCGCAGUGUAGCAAUACAUGGGCGGCGACCGGCAAACGGGUGCGGAACACGUACACAACCUUCCUACAAGUGGGGGAUAGCCCAGAGAAAUUUGGAUUAAUACCCCGUAACAUAACGAUGUGGCAUAACAUUGUUAUUAUAGCUACGGCGCUUGUUGAUGGGUGUGCGGCUGAUUAGGUAGUUGGCGGGGUAACGGCCCAACAAGCCUUCGAUCAGUGGCUGAUGUGAGAGCAUGAUCAGCCACACGGGCACUGAGACACGGGCCCGACUCCUACGGGAGGCAGCAGUAAGGAAUAUUGGUCAAUGGACGCAAGUCUGAACCAGCCAUGCCGCGUGAAGGAUUAAGGUCCUCUGGAUUGUAAACUUCUUUUAUAUGGGACGAAAAAAGGGUAUUCUUACCCGUCUGACGGUACCAUAUGAAUAAGCACCGGCUAACUCCGUGCCAGCCGCCGCCGUAAUAC
rnacentral:rRNA from 1 species